GGCGGCGCGGGCGGCGGCAACGGCCGCCUACAGUCCCCACAAUGCCGCGGGGCGGAGCGGCCCCGGGAGGUUGGGACCGGCGGGAGAGCGGAGCCCGCUGCCUCGGGGAGCUGUGGGGGCGGCGGGGGUGAGAAACCCUCGAGAACCAGCGGGACGGAGCCGGCGGCAGCCGCGCACCUGGCCGCAACGGGGAUCCUCACACUCGGACGGCGUGUGGGGGCCGGGCAGCGCGGGAAUCCCCUGAGGGGCCCCUGCUCCUCACGGCAACUUUUAUUUACGCACGUAUCGAAACGGCGGCGGUGACGCGGGAUCGUUAUAUAACCGUGCCGAGGGAGGCCGGCUGCUGGCACGGCGUUCUGCUGGCACCACACGCGCCGCGCUCCAGAUUCCUGCCGUCUGGAAACAUCCCCGUGCUGCCAUCCCUGAGCCCGCGGCUCAGCACAGCCCCGCAGGCCCCGGCACUGCUACCUAUGGGCAUCUCAUCUCCGUGCUGGGCUUUGGCAGCCUGUGUUCUGUGCGGCUCCGUGGAAAGGAGAAACGGCCUUGAGUUAAACGGGAGCGCUUUGCUGUGAAGAUGCCCCCAGCUCAGCGCUUAGAGCUGACAGAUGUGGUGGUCCCGCUACUGCAGACCCCAUUUUUACCUGCUCCUCCCUUGGGGCAGCUCUGCUCUCCUAUGUGACUGAUGGCACGAAGCCGUGAGGUCAUGCAGGGCUGUCCCACUGCCUGGUUCAUCUUUGAUUGUGCAACACUGUGGUUAUCUGCAGAGGGUCUCUUUCUAAAAGUCAUGGCAUCAUAACAGCAUCGCUUUCCAGAACAAUCCUUUAUUAAUCCAAUAAUGACAAGAGCGUGCUUCGCUUUGGCAGAGAACUACAUAAACAUGACAGCUCUCAGAACCAGUUGUGUUUCUGAGCUGAAUGCUUUAUUCCAGCAAGGAAUCUGUUAUUUGGCUACUGUCCCACGGAGAAUUUCAAGCAGUUAAAAUGUCCUUACCGUGGCAGGAUGAUGGCCAAGAAGUGACGAUGUACUCUUCUGACAUGACACACUCAGACUGGUGCAUGUUGGGCACAGGAGCUGGAGAGAGAAGAGACCAAAACUGCUUACCCUGCUUAGGAUGGAUGUGCAAAUGCACCAGAUGGCUGAUUCGUUUGUUGCAGAAGAUGCGAUGCGAGUGAGGUGGGACCACGAAAGAAACCAUGUUACAAGGGUAAGGUAGGUUCAUUGCUAUCCAGAACUCAGACGGACUGGAUUUGUCAUUGCCUUGUGAGCUAGCAGAAAAAUCAUGAAACCAAGUACUGCACAUUGCUUUAUCCCCUUUGUUUCCGGGCACUCGGCUUGCAAAAGUUUGUAGCAGUUUGUAGCAGUGAGGAGUUGCAGAUGAAGUAUGAGCAAUAAGAAUCAUUGCUUUAUAUACUGCAGAAGCUAAGCACUCUAGGAAAGCAAGGACUGCAAUUUCACCUGUCCUGCUCCGCCUCUGCCUCAGCUUUGCACUGUACUGGGAGUGCUUCCACCCUCUUGUUCCUGCAGGGCACUGGGGAGAUACUUUGUGAAGCAAUCAGUCAUGAACACCAUAGCAAAGUCCAUCAGAGUCUGCUUCUGCAUUGAAAGCAGAUUUUGUAAGUAAAUCAGACCUGGGGCUACACAAUGAAUAAAGACACCAAAACAGGACUGAAAAACUGCUCAUUAAUUGAGCGCUGCCUUGUGGGAAUUCCCGCAGUGUGAGUGUGUAAUAGUAGUGCAUACAAAUUAGAGAGGCAAAUGGGAGAUGCAUAAGCAAAUUUAGCUCUGACAUUUCUCAAAUUAGUGCUUAACUCAGCCACUUUAGUGACCUACAUCUAAUUUAUUUUUGAGCUCAGAUGCUGUUUUAAUACCUAUAAAUGUGUUCGGUCCUGUUGCAAACUUUCCUUUUUUUAAGCUGAUAUAAACAGCGCCUAUUUUUACAGCCUUCUGAUUUUUGUCCAGUAGGUACGUUAUAGCUACUCUCUAUAGAGGUUUCAAGGUUGCACCUUGAAAAAUCAUCACAAAAAUAUAGUUAUUUUUUGUUUGUUUUUCCUUAUAACCAAUUUAGCCAGUCUGUAUAUUUGACUUCUGUGUUUUCCUAAGCCAAGAAGUCUGGAACUAAACUGCUGCAGCACAUCAUAGAAGUUACAGGUGUUACCUUACUAAAUGCAGACCAUGAAAACUGAAGCAUUCACUGUCCAGCAUCUAAUAACUUAAGGUACUCCUUGUAGGCUGUCCUAGUUGAAGCUCGGUAUCCAUUCCUGUCUCAGCCGAUUUGUCAGUGUAUCAGUAGGUGGCAGUCACAGACAAGUCCACACAAUUUCUGCUUCAUAAAAAGAAAUACAGGAAAAAAAAAAAGAAAAAAAAGAAAAAAAAAAAAAAGCUUAUUUUAGGGUAAAGUUGCUCCUUUUUUUUGUGUUCACAAACAUGAACAGUGAAAAUCUACUUCCCAGCCUCAUACUUACAUCUUCCUGUAACAGGCAGAAAAGCUCUUCCUGUAACAGUUCUGGUAUUUUUAGGUGCACUUAAUUUAAUCACAUCAUAAUCCUGAAUUAAAUUAGAUGCAAAUAUGCAAUGUAUAUUUCAAAUCCCAUUUUCCCCAAAGAUUAAUUAUGCAGAUGCCUUUAACAUUUCACAUAGAACUUCAGUAAUUUUGCCUACUGUUUUUCCACACUUUAUAGCACUAUUUAAGACAGUAAAGUGACUUCAACUCAUUAUUAUUACUUAUCAAUGCAAGAAACCCCUAUUUCUUACAAUCUAUCCCUUCCCCCACAUCUCCUUUAACCUCUUUGAAGAAAGAAAUCCGGCUUCUGAUGCAGCCCCAAAGAUUAGCCAUAACCGUGGCACUUCCUAAGACAAUACCAAUACAGGCUUUUAUCUUUGUUCAACAAAAAUAUAGGAAAAUUGAUACUUCAGGACAUUCCAAGGCCCAUUUUUUGUUACUCCCUUCACAAAAGGAAAUUCCACUGGAUAAACAGUUGCUGCAUUAACGUUCCAAACUAGAGUUAAUGGCAUUGUUAUAAUUCAUUGCAAUCAAAUGCCAUUGUCUCAUUACUCCUGACAGGUCCUUCAUUACAGCACCCCUCAGAACCUGUUGGUAACAGCUCCCGCAUUUACCUGCGUGUCACUGACAGCAAAGUCUGCAUUUCUUUUAAUCUGUAUCGUGACAUAGAAUGACUUACAUGUACCUCCAUUUGCUCAUCUGUUUUCUCCAUAGUUUCGUGGAGAGGAGCUUAAAAAUCCUAUUUGCUAUCAAUAGCCCAGCAGCCCACUGCUAACUUAAUGCACAGCAUAGGAAACAAAGAAGAGGAAAUUAUGUAUUAUAGAGUAGGUGUAACAAUGGAAAAGUGAUACAUGUAACGACAGAGGGACAACACAAUAAAAAGUUCCUAAAAGGAAAGAAAGGCCUGCUCACCCAACUCCAGGGAAACCGGGCACCCAGAAAAAAAACUUCAGAAGAGAGAUAACUCACAGAAUCAUAGGAUGGCCUGGGUUGAAAAGGACCAUAAUGAUCACCUAGUUUCAAACCCCACCCACCCCUCUAUAUGCAGGCCAUCCACUAAACCAAGCUGCUGAGAGCCUCAUCCAGCCUGACCUUGAAUGCCUCCAAGGAUCCUUACCCAGAGGUAGCUGGGCCUGAAAUGAGGUCUAAGAGAGAUGCAGCCAGGCUCCACCCCUUCUGCUCACACAGCUGAAUUGCCUUCACCUGUGCGCCCAGGGCUGACUGGGUCCUUUCCUCAGGUGCUCAAUCAGUGGUUCAGGCUGUGACUCAACAGUUACCAUCCCGUAGGAAAUAAUUUCAAUGUCAAAAUGAUUAUACUUUAAGUUCAAUAAAAGUAUAUUAGUAUUUCUGGGCCUGAAAUACACAGUAAUAAGUCUAGUGGCAUAAGAAAUAAAACUCUGAGAGCAAUGGUUGCAGCACUAGAAGAGUAAUUGCCUGGUCUUGUUCUCUCUGAAGGCAGUGGGAACCAAAUCAGAUAGUUUGAUGAGAAUAAAAACUUGUUGCUUCUGCCUUGAGAAAACCUUACUGCUGGACAAAGCCAUGUUCUGGAGGGCUGUUUUUUUAUAGUUUUUUGAAAACAUGUUGUACUUCAUGAGGUUAUAUGCACUUAUUUGUAGAAAAAUCUUCAAGAACUUUUAGGUAUUUGCUUGUAGAGUUUGAGGUAAAAUGUUUGAGAAUGAAACUCAAAUAGCAGGUUACGUAAAUCAAAUUUCAGAACAGCUAGGCUGUUUGGACAUUUUAUGGUUUGGAAGAGUAAGAGGAAAAUACAUUCUUUAAGAUGUUGAUUUUUGGCCCAAGUUGGCAUAAAAAACAAACAGAUGGUGCCCUUUUCACCAAAGGGACAAUAUUUUAGUGGUAUUCUAUAGUAAGGACAUAUAUUCCUACAUGAUCCAAAGAUGUUAAAAUUAUUUUGUGCUGCUCAUCUUCCAGGUUUCUUUUCUACCGUUUUUCCUCCCAGCAGUUUACCAGUGGUAUGUAUUCAUUCAAGGAACUAGCAAAUAAGGUGCAGUGAUAGUGGAGAAGGCUGUCCUGUUCUCCCAUGAAGUGUUAUACAGUUUAACUUCUUUAGGUACAUUAUAGACAUCCGCUAUAAUAAAUACGCAAUUUGCAGUACUCAGCGUGUUUCAUUCCUUAACAUCUGAAGAAUGAAGCCACCUUAAUAGAGAUUUUUUUUAAACUCAUGAACUGGUGAAAGAAACCACAAACCCAGGAAGCCAGCUAUUAAACUUAUCAGAGAUUCAGUAUGUUCACAACCACUUCAAGAAAAGCUUUCUUUUCUUUUUGCAGAAAAACCUUAUGUACAAACUGAUCAGUCACCUUCCCUCGGUAACACUGAAUUUCUGCAGAUACAGCUCUUAAAAUGAGUGAUGUUCAAGGCUAUCACAAAAUGUUUCAAUCUCGGAUGUUAAUUGGAAGAAGCAAGCAAGCUAUUUGCACUACUGUAAUAAGCUGCAGCAAUUUUGUUAUGUUAGACAGGAGUGUUAAUGAUGAGCCACAAAUGCAAGUUUGUACAAAGCCACUGAGAAUUAAGCAGUAUGUCCUAUAUUCCUCUCUCUUGCUGUUCCAGUGAAAACCAUACAUGUGGAAGAACAAAUGGAAAUGUUGUCAUGGUGAUCAGAGCAGUUACCGAGUCAUUUACCGUGUAGGAAGGAUUCCCUAAAGAACCUUAUUAAGCAUUUUGCUGCUGCUUUUAAUAAAUGUUUUCAGGAAGCCAUUUUUAUUUUGCCAUCAAAGUAAGCCAAAGCCUGUUUCUCUACCCUCCAAAAUAAAGCUGAGCAUGACAAGCAUCAAUAAAUAUUCUUAUUAAAGGUUAGGAAUGGGAGCCGAGACAGAGCCUAAACAAAAAGACCUACUCGUGACGUUUGAAUGUAUUUCAGAAUGGUUAUUGUGAAACAGCUCGGUGCUAACUAGACUAUUGGUGUCCUCGGUUGGCAAAUGAAUAAACAAACCUGUACAUGAAAGGCAUCAUGAAACUACUGGUUACAAGGAAUAUGAUUCUUUUUUCUAGUAAUACUACUACAAUAUGAAAAAAAAUACUAUUUUUCAAGGAUAUUUCAUGAAUAAACAUGUAGGUUCGGUGUUCGAUCUGGUGGAAGAGCUAGCCUACAGCAGAACCCCAGGCCAAACCCAUCUGGGUGUGCUCUGGUAGAUGAAUGCAGGUGGCUGCAUCAUAUUAUUCAAGUUAUUGGCAAAGAAAGCUAAACCUGCCCAAUGAAGACAUCUUGAAUUUCUUCUGCAUAAAACAGUACAACAGGCAUUGACAGAAAAUGCUAAAAAUACACUGAGAGGCAAGAACGUGCACUUUGAGCUAAAUGCAAACUUCAUUCAACAAACCACCAAGUUUUUAGCACCUAAACUGAACACGUAAGCAUAUCACAAGACUCAGCACCUCAGCUUGUCUUCGUCUUGCAGGUACUUAGGGCACAGAGGGAAUCCAGAUUUCUGUUCCUUUAUGGAUGGCUGUUUGAAGCCCUGACUUACUGAGAAAUAGAAUUUUCUAACAAAAUUGUUUCCUGCCUCACCUGUGGGGCCCCUUAGAAAGACAUGAUACAUUACAGUUGAGUUCACUUUCUAAAAUAAUUUCAGUCAUCAUCAUUCAAAAUAAGAUGCACGCACCCUUUGUUUCCCCAAAGUUUUAUUGAUGCAGUUGUAGUAUAUAACUAUACAUCUUCGUUUUACCUGUAGUUACAGUACUUCCUUACUGACAUUGUUUUUGUAGCCAAGUUUAUUACAGCCUUCAUAAAACAUAUUUAUAAACAUCACUUACUAUAUAAGACCAACCAUUCCAAACAUUGUAGAUCAUCGGCAUUUUUCCUUAGUAGUUAUUUGUGUGGAAAGAUCACACCACUCUUUUUAUCUAAAAAAUUGGUAAAGGCAAAUGAAUUAAAUUCACCUUCUGAAGAAAAUAAGAAUGUUAAAAAUAGCUUCAGAGUCGGUAUGACUCAUUUAGGUCUCAGAAAAAUCUAUGACUGGCAACGGUAUCUACAACUCGAUACUGUACUACAUACUUCCAUUAAGAACCAUGGAACCCUUAUGAAAACUGAAAUGAAACCUGUGCAUUGGGCUGAAAAAUAAGGAUUACCUUGAUUUUUUUUUUUUUUAGGAUUUUUAUUUUAUUUAUUUAUUAACAGGAAAUGCACUACCUUCUAAAAACACUGUUAAAUAUUGAUAUCUGAGGAAAGUGUGCUAAAUCCAAAAGCAUGCAUCACUGAUACCAAAUUUUAACAUAUUUUUAGUGGAAAACUGACUCAAAGGAUGGUGCAGAAGAGUUUCUUCUCCCUGAAGGGAUUUUCAGAUGCAGGCACUGGAAUGAUAAGGGGAUCUUCUCCAAUAUGAGCAUCACAGUAUGCCAGUAAGUCUGCUGCAGCCUUGGAUACCUAACAGAAGAGAAAAGAAGAACCAUUAUAACACUUAAGUCCAAACCAAUUGCCAACGUGUAAAUAUUCUUCAUGUAACAUACAGAAUUGGGAACUGUCUUCAAGCAGUAACUGCUUUACUCUUCAUAUUAUUAGACACCAUAGCUCUGAAUUUGCUCUUAUUGUGCUCCGUAAACAUUAUGUACGCUUUACCUAACUCAGACACAGGGCAUGUUAUUGAUUUAUAUGAUUAAUAUUCAGCUUUUCAUCUCCAUCAGUAGCAAGGUCAGGAGAAUAUAUGUAUUGAAAUAUCCAUCUGCCGACUGGCUGUAAGCAAUAGGGAUUCUCCAUGACGCACGUCUCUAGACACAUGCCUUCUGAGGCCUGCUGCCUCAGGGCUUAUUCACAGGCAUCAAAACAGCAAACCUGGGGAGUUUUCUACAGACUCUCUCUAUCCUUUCCCCAUCUGGAUGUGGAAAAAAAGAUCUUGAGGCACGUGAGCAUGGAAAUGGACUUAAAAAAUGAAAUAAUAAAUCGGGAGUAAAAAUAAUAAUUUGUCAUAGUUCUCAUUUAAGCUAAAUGAGAUAAAUCAGACAAUAAAUCAAUGGUUUGGGUUUUUUUCCCCACAAGAACUAAUGGCAUACAUAUAUAUAUGAAUUACUUUUGCUCUGUUCCAUUCACAAGAUAUUUACAAUUAUCUGCAUUUCUUUGCUUUGUUGAGUUACUGCAUUUUCAGUGUUAUGAAUGAGUGCAGAGAAUGAGAGUCUUUACAAAGUCUUUCCUCUGAUCACCGUGACAGAUUCUCCUAAGUCCAACACUGAAGUCAGCAUCUUUGCACAGCUAUAGCAAAGAGGAAAAAUAAAUCUGACUCCUGAUAUUUUUAUGAUAGGUGUGUCAUCACUUUCAGCUUUAGCUUCCCCACACUCUGCUUGCUUUGGCAAAAGCCCAUCCCAUGGUAGGCUUCAGAUUAGAUCUACAGAGUCAAUGGGUACAAAUCAUAAUUCACACAACAUUUAAAUUAACUGCCAGAAGAUAAUAAGUGACUUUCUAUCUUUAAAAUACCCACUGAAACGUGGCUUUGUAGAACGCUGAAACCCACAGAUUUUCUACAGUUCUAUCAAUGAGCUGAAGAAGCGGGUGUGUUCAGGUUACUUAAAAUUAGUUUGCUAUUGAAUUAGACUGUGAGACAAAAAGGUGAGCAGAGGUAGAACCAUAGUGGCCAAAAGUCUGGGAAUGCUAUAUUCACAAUUGUAGAUUUACGUGUGAAUUUUUAAAAAGCACAUUUUCCAAAGAGAAGCACAGUGUGGGCUGAUUAUGGAAUUCAUAUCAAGCCCCAAAAGAUCAAAAGACGGCAAAGAUGUUGUUCUGUGAUCAUGACUUAUGGUGACCUCAAGAAAAUAUAAAGGAGCAGAAAAGUAACUCACCAAAGAACUGAACAAGUUUCCAGUAACUGUAGGAGGGAUGUUCACCACAGCAUCUUGGAGAACUAUUUUCAGGUAAUGGCAGUCAUCGGUAUAUUCAUUUUCACUUUCCUAUUUCUAUCUUUCAAGCUCAGCUGCAUUUCUCAAUUUAAGGCAGUUCUCUGCUUUUGUUGAUUUCUUUGGUCCUGAACUCUCUUUCAUACAAACAGAGCAAGUUAAACCCCGAGCCAUAGGUGCCCACAAAAGGGUUUGGUGGCAUUUACGGUUCUAUAUCAUAAAAAACUUUACUACCAUAAAAUCUAAUGGAGAUCUACUCUAGUUCUCUAGGUCCUGGAUAAUGUAUUUAUUAAAGAUGCUCAGCAUACCCAUCUUUAACAAUUAAGGUACUGAAAUAUGUUUAUUGGGAAAUAUUUUAUUCAUGAAGCCAACAACUUUUUAAGCAGGCUGAUCUAAGACCAACUUUCCCCUAAUUGCCAUGAUUGUUCUACAUACGGACAAGCUGCAUCAGCCCAAGUAUGUUACUUUGGUUUUUUGAAGGUAUAAAUCCUGUAAUAUAAUUUUCUGAUUGUUUCUCUACAUGUUACUGUGCUUAGUCAACAUACAGCAAUGAAAAGGAUGGUACUGAAGAACAUUAUCACAUUUCUGUACGUUAGCACAAACUCAGCUCCCUGGCCUGUACCAGGCUGUGUAUUUUCAUCCUUUAAGCAAGAAAAGAUGUGAGGAGGAGAAAUCCUCCCAUCGGGAUUACACUGGUUAUGAAACUGAAUUACAGCAAUUUCUUCACUGAAGAACUGGAAUAGCUCACGCUUGUGCAGUGAAAAAUGACCACUUAGUAUGGAGUGUUAAAUGAGAUGAUCACACUGCAGCGGAAUUGAACACAUUGCCAACAUUGCUCGCAGCCACAGGAACCAAAUUCAGAGCGGUGGCCAAAAAAAUAAAGCGAUAUACAGUUUUGCCUCCAGUACAUUUCCUCCUCAGUGCGAUUAUUCAGACCAACGGUGGCAAAAGACCUCUGCAUUACGCAUAAUAUUAAAGCUACAGCAUAGAUAGAUAGCUUUUUUUAGUAUGUGUCAGCACUUGGAGGUAGCCUAUUAGCCAACACUAUGGUUUGUUACUGCACAAAAUGAUGUGCUACUCACCCUAUUUCUGUCACGAAGAAGUUAAAUGAAGUCAAGGCCAGCCUACCACAGCUUCUACUCACCUCUAGGGGAAUACUGCCAGGCAGUUUCUGGUCAGCUUUUAGCAAGACUUAAAGUAAAAGCACCUAAUUUGAAUAUUCAAACCAAACUAGCACACAUUUAUCAUUUCAGCUCACCUGCGCAAUACAGUUUGCUCUGCAGAUGCAAAGUGAUUUUUACAUACUGCACACUAAUACUGAAAUAUUAGACUCCAGUUUGAUUGAUGAAUUCUAACAGAAAGUCAACAUUUCAGUUUUUAAAACCAUUUAUAAAAGUACAGGUAGAGAGGAUGGAAUACAUCAGUAUCACAUCAACCUCACAUUUUAUAGAAGGAUAUUUAUUCUGUUUAAUGAUAAAUACAUCUGGUUGUCAGACUACCAAAAGAAAAAGCAAAACAAAACAAGAUGAAAACACUCUACUCUGAUGCUUCUGAUGCUUUGAAAAAUCAGUCUUAAGAGGAUUGUGGAAUUUUACCAUUACAUUUUAGAAUAACAAAGGUGAUAAAAACAGCCAAAGCUAGAACAUAAUCCUGUUAGCUGCACUAAUAAUUACAAGCUUCAAUGACAGGGCAAAAUGCUGCAAUUACUAUGUCAUCUGCCUUGUCAUGGAUCGUGACUAAUUACCAUCUUUGCUUCGACACCCACUCUGCUUAUCCUUUACAUCUAAAACAAAGAGAUUCACACACAUAUAUUGCCAGUCCCACUGCAUUUAUCUCCCAACACUGUUCAGAAUCUGUUAGGAAUACUUUCUACCUUCUUAAAGAAAAAAGAAAACGUAGUAAUAGCUGAUACACUGUGAUGUUUAGUGUCAGACCACUCCUCCUUGCUUUUCUGCUUGUGAAGGGAAGAUUAAAUAGCGCUUUAUACUUGGGACAACUGUGAUAAAGCAUCAAUAUUAUCUUUGCUUUCUCAACUUUACAGCUUUGGUAGAUGCAUUAUUCUACAAGUCAUGAGGCCAUUCUUCAUCUGAUUUCAUUUCAUGUUUUCUAGCUUUGAAUCUGCACCUCCUGCUUUCCAUUUACUGUGUUAUAAUGCCAGCCAUUCCUUCUGCAGAGAAAUAAGACAGGUUUGAUUUACCAUCCUUUGGGAUUUUUAAGGUUUAUAAUAACCGGCCACAGUAAUACACCUUUCAGCUACCAAUCCACAUGCCAAUAACUUCAUCCUCCUCUUUAUAGCUGCCUUACUUCAACACUGAGUUGUUUUAGCGGACCCCCAAAGCACUGCACUGCUUACUGCUCUGAAUGGUUAUAGGACUUGACUUUAAAGUCAGUAAAAAAACCAAACAAAAAUGGAAUACAGUAGGGAAUGGGUAACUAUAAAUGUAUUUUAACUACAAAACUUUUACUGAGCAGACCUAAUUGUUGCAACUGCUGUCCACAGAAAACAAUGUACCUCUGUGGUAGAAAAAUAAGCUGGAACAUUUGAUUUCCCUGGUCGAUAACACAGGCACUUUGAAAAGUUUCUUUUUAAUGUUAACAAUGUGGUCCCGUCUACUGUGGGAAUAACUACUUGGCUAAUAAUUUGCAAAAGAGAGUCGGAUUAAGUUAUUUUGAGGAGACUGAUCCUUUGUUAAAUGCCUUGCUAGUUUAAGUAGUUGCAAGAAGCCAGGAAAAAUAACAUUUCUCUGACUUUACAGCUAUGAUCUGAAAACUCAAAUCUCCUACUGCAACCAUUUGAAGUCUCUUGGCAAAAUUCACCAAGUACACACAUAAUUGUUUCAAAGAUUAAAAGGAAAACAGAUAUUGAAAUAAGAAAACUAACCUCUUUUCAUAAUCCCUCGUCUGCUUAUUCAAAGACAUUCUAGACAUCGAGACAUCGGCCUUUUGUGGAUCAUAUUUUGUUUGUAUUAGUAUAAUGUAAGCACUGGUUAUAUUUUAGCUAUACAUUAUGUUAUCAUAUAUUUCAGAAUACUGAAACAUAUUCACUUCUCUGGUGUGUUUUUUGGUCCCAAGCUGAAAGGUAAAAUAAUUACACUUGUAAGCCAGAUGAUUGUUAGGUCUUGCUAGCGCCUGUGUUCUUUUUAAUUAAACUAGCUGCAAAAAAUAACCUAUGUCAUUCUUACAUACAUAAUUAAGAAUGUCAUUAUACAUC